rnacentral:tRNA from 13 species
GCCGGCUUAGCUCAGUUGGUAGAGCACCUGCUUUGUAACCAGGGGGUCAGGGGUUCGAUUCCUCUAGCCGGCA